rnacentral:rRNA from 1 species
UACAGAGGGUGCGAGCGUUGUCCGGAAUCACUGGGCGUAAAGGGCGCGUAGGCGGCCUGGUAAGCGUGCGGUGAAAGCCCGGGGCUCAACCCCGGGUCGGCCGUGCGAACUGCGAGGCUGGAGCACUGUAGAGGCAGGUGGAAUUUCGGGUGUAGCGGUGGAAUGCGUAGAGAUCCGGAAGAACACCGGUGGCGAAGGCGGCCUGCUGGGCAGUGGCUGACGCUGAGGCGCGACAGCGUGGGGAGCAAACAGG